GGAAAGAGGGGAACGUGAGGAGAAAAUACAAGGUCAGGAAGAACCAGACUGGUGGGAUGAAUGGAGGGGUUGAUGAUCACUACCUGGAGAUUUACAGUCAAAGACUAGAGAAAUUGAUAGAGGAUGACAGGAUGGGUGACACAUGAUAAAGUACAGGGUGAAAUCUGAAAAAGACUUCAGAAUUAAACAGCAUAAGGCACCAACCAUAACUGCCUGCUUAUAAAGCCAAUAGAGAAGUGUAUUGCACAAAUUAUUUUUACUUGCCAGCAGUGGUGCCUCUACAUGCAAAACAAACUAGCAAACCAAAAAA